AUGCGAUAAAGGUAAAGGAACUCCGCCCGCCCCGAAACCAGAAUAUUGGUAAACAAACAAAUCUACCUGGUGGCGAGGCUACACAGCUACAGUACCACGUUACCUGUGUAUGGGAAACAGCAGAUGCAGAGGAAGGCAAGGUCGGGGAGGUAGACUGAGUGGACCGACCAACAAAGAUGCAUAAGAGAAACUGUCAAAAGUUCACCCACUUCCUUCACUCAUCCUGCAGUGGCCCAAGAUAAACUCAUCUCUUAUCAAGAAGUGAAGAACAAGGGACAGACUGAUGACAGAGGCUACAUCACCACCACCACCACCACCGACACCA